UACGGAGGUGGCUAGCGUUGUUCGGAAUUACUGGGCGUAAAGGGCGCGUAGGCGGCUUUGCAAGUCAGAUGUGAAAGCCCCGGGCUUAACUCGGGAACUGCAUCUGAAACUGCUUAGCUUGAGUCCUGGAGGGGGUAGUGGAAUUCCCAGUGUAGCGGUGAAAUGCGUAGAUAUUGGGAGGAACACCUGCGGCGAAGGCGGCUACCUGGACAGUGACUGACGCUGAGGCGCGAAAGCUAGGGGAGCAAACGGG
rnacentral:rRNA from 1 species